GCACUUUCUUUUCCUAAGCAAGGGGGACAGCACUUUUGAGCACACUGCUCUUGCAUUUUCUGGGGAUAGAAAUGAAAAGUAGGGAGUUGCAGCCAGAAUAUUAAUUUGUCAUGCCACUCAGCUAUGCUUCUGGCCCCUCUUCUGUUUUCAGCUUCUCCUCUGUUUGCAGCUUCUCUUCUGUUGCAGCUCUCCCCCCAGCAGCUCCAUCUUUGUUAUUGAAUUGUCUCUCUUGGGGAAAACCCAGUUUCACUGCUCAUGGCCAGAGGCCUGGUGGCUGGGUGGUGGCUGAUCUCUUGGAUUUAAGUUAGUUUGGGUCCACUGUUUCUUUGAACGUGUGCGUGUGCGUGUGUGUGUGUGUGUUGAUGCCUUUAGCAGUUAAUUCCACAUUUUAAUUACUUUUUCAUAAGAAAAUAGUGUCUGAUUAGUUCAUAUAAACUGCUUCAGUUUCUCUUGUUUUGUGCGUAUAAAGAAAAGAUCACUGCCUACCUACAUCUUUUUUGUAAAUUAAGGACAAUUUCCUGGAAGAUGUCUUUGAAGGAUAGUGAGAAAACACUAAAGGAGGUUCCCAGCUAGAGAGCACCAGUCCCACCUUACUGUUAAUAACAAUAGAGCCAUCCCCUUGCAGUGUUACUGUAGAUUUUAAGGGGAGGAUAGCAUGUAAAACAGAAAUUGUGAACAGGAUUGACCCCAGAGUCAGUUGGCUGGGGAUGGAGGUCAGUCUUGCCUAGCACACAGAGGCCCUGGAUUCAGUACAGUUCAGGGGUGCCUAACUAGAGCAAAUCCUCCUGUAACCUGAAAAUGAUUUUGUUUCCACAUUUUUUUCCCCAAGCCCAUAUGUGGACCGGAGGUAUGUUUGCUACAUUAAUAGAUUAGCUCUCCAUUGUCCUGCUUGGCGCUGUUUCUGUCUUUCACAUAUGAUGGUGUACAUUAGAUCACUCGGUCAUUAUUACUGAAUUCUAGGCAGGACUUUGUUUUCUAAACACAUAUUCCUUAGGCUUUAAGCUCUGAGUACCCAUCUGCACCUAUGUGCCUUUGUGGGUGUUUUGCUUGCUGAGAAAUCGGUACAGCACAGCCUCUCUUCCAAUUGUAUUUUUUUUUCUUAUGUUGACAGUAGUUCACGUUGAAAAGGAAAAUGCCAUUUCUCUCUUGUUAAUGGCCAAAUUGGAAGCAGAAUUAUACUAGGGGAGCUUGAGAAUGUGUUGUAAGUGGAGGAGCAUGAAUCAAGAGAACCACAAUUAAAACCACUUAUCCCGUAGCCGUAUUUCCCAAACACAAUGACAGCCUUCAAGCUGAUCAUGGGAUUACAGAAAUUGAGUGGAAUAAAACCUCAUUCAUUGCAUCAGUCUGUGUUUUGCCAUUUUGGGUGCACUGUUCUCUCUGCACUUCUUAGUAUUGGUGGGAAAAUUUGGUCAAAAAGAGUUCUCUCUCUCUCUCUCUCUCUCUCUCUCAUUUAGUUGCAUGAUCUUCAGAAGCAAAGGCAAGUAGUCAUUAAUUUCCAUCUGAUAGGGCAGAACUUUUUCUGUGGCUAAACAAUUGAAACAGGAAAUGACCCAAGAUACAGUUUCCAUGACACCCUGUCGCUUGGAUCCAGUUUUUCCUGAAGAUGAAAGACCAAAGCCGCCUUUUGAUACCAAGUAACUAAUUGGACUGGCUGAUAGUGGGAGGGUUUUUUUUUUUUUAAUAUAAUGUGAAAAAUAAAGGAGAAAAAACUAGAACAGCUGUGUUUUGGUAUAGUUGUCUAAUCCCCAGAUAAAACACUCCAAGGACAUUGGAAUUGAAUGGUGCCUUUGUGGGGGGGAGGGGCUUAGUUUCUAAAAUCUGUCAAAGCACGGAAUGUAUUUAUGUUAAAGAGCAAAAAGAAGAAAGGGGGAAAUCAGAGCUUCGAUACCAGGUGAUAGCUUUUCAAGAAUGAUCUUUGUUUAUGCAGAGUAUGAUGUCCUGUUUUAAGAUUCUCUCUUGAAGGUGCUAAGAGAUUGGCUAGGUUGUUGUCGUCUAGAGUGUUUGUUUAUAUUUCUGCUCCGAGCUGGCUGUGAGAGCUGGGGUUGCUGAGAGCUGGGGGAACUGAGCCUCUGUUCCUGUGUUUCCCUUUCUCUUGUAAAUGAAGCGCUGGUUGUAGAGCUUCAAGCCCUACUACUCUUCCACUUCAGAAAUUUCCCACCCACCCCAACCCCCUACUGAAAUGCUGGCUCUACUGAUCACAAAGGCAUGCAUAUGAAAAGCUUCAAAUACGUUUAAAUGGAGAAAACAUCUAUUUUCCUUGAAAGGGAGGCAAUGUCUUCUCCAUGUCCACUGAUGGCGUACCUAAGAACCAUGUUUUCUUACAUUGGAACCCUGAAGAAGACAGUCUUUGUUUGACCUAAUGAAUCUUCUGUGUCCUGGGGCUCAGUGGUGGGCUGCUUGCCUGGCUCGCACAGGCCAUUGAGUUCAGCCACAACACUUUGAAAGAAAUAACUAAAGAGACGUGUAUUUUUUUCUAAUUCCUCACUCCUCUUGUGAAUGAGCCAGAACCCUGUCUCUGUCAGUUUUCCACCAGUUAGAUUUAUUUGGUGGAUUCAAUUCCCCCCCUCCCCCCAAGACAGGGUUUCUCUGUGUAGCCUUGGCUGUCCUGGAACUCACUUUGUAGACUAGACUGGCCUCGAUCUCAGAAAUCCGCCUGCCUCUGCCUCCCAAGUGCUAGGAUUAAAGGAUUGUUUCAUAGCAAAGUACCUGCCUAGUUUCUUUUACUUUUGCCAAUCAGAGGAGUAGAAGCAGAUGUUCACACUGAAAUCCUACUAUAUUUAGGUGGUAAGUGUAAUACUAAAAAUAUAGACUGACUGAGGUGUAACUGUGGACCAAUUACUUGGUUCUAAUUUUCUCUUUUCUAGUUGUGCCUACCUUUGGGCUGACUGCAAAUUGCAUGAGAUUUGGGGCCUCCUGACAUUGUGUCUGCCCCAUGGGUGACAUGAAUUAGAUGUUUAAAGGGGUGGAUGCUGACAGUGGGGUGCUGUACAUGGAUCCCAAGUUGGGUGGGUCGGAGAUUCCUUCUUCUUAUAGCAACAUCUGGUUUUAAGUCACCAUCUUCAACUGAGGAAGACAUUCAAGUAGUGUUGUCAAAGCCAUGGAUAUUACUGUUUGGAUGUUUGACUCACUGAAUAGCUUGGGCAUUGUUGGGGCUCUGUAGUGGAAGAGUGAAGAUUCCCUUCCUGUAGCUGUCCUAGCUACAGUGGCUCCUGGAGUCCUCUGGGUUGGCUGAGUAGCCUGGCUAGGUACCCAAGAUUCAUGUCUGUGAGCUAAACCUGAAUCUUUAUACUCUGUGACAGGUCCCUACUGCCUCUGCUUCCCUGAGCAGCAUUUCUUUUUAGACACCCUCUCCCAACGCCACCCUCCUUUUGCAGGACCUCCUGCCUGAGGCUGUGCCCUGACUAGUAGAGCUGUACGUAGCCAUUAGUCCAGCUCUUUGCUUGUGCCUCAUGUAGGUCCUAUCCUACUUAGUUGUUCUAGGUCUGAGCUGCCUGCUGUGUCCCCUUGAUGCCCAGUCAUUUGUUCUCCUUACAGGUACCUUAUCUGCCCUCUGAGAGGGGCACUGGUGAGCUGGCUGCAUCACACAUACACAGACAUACUAAGUUCUCUAAAAGACUAUCAAAAAUAGGCUUUUAAUUAUUUUAAAAGAUGUGUGUGUGUGUGUGUGUGUGUGUGUGUGUGUGUGUCACUGGAGUUGGAGUUAUAAAUUGGUUGUGACUCACCUGCCAAAGGACCUAGAAAGGAAACAUGGGUCCUAUGGAAGGAGCAAUGCUCUUAAUCCCUGAGCUAUCUCUGUAGUCCCAAUGGGACCUUU
rnacentral:lncRNA from 1 species